rnacentral:tRNA from 1 species
GCCCGGGUGGUGGAACUGGCAGACACGGGGGGCUUAAACCCCCCUGAGGGAGACCUCAUGUGGGUUCGAACCCCACCCCGGGCACCA